UGAGGAAUAUUGGUCAAUGGGCUUACGCCUGAACCAGCCAAGUCGCGUGAGGGAAGACUGCCCUAUGGGUUGUAAACCUCUUUUGUCAGGGAGCAACGCCGGCUACGUGUAGCCGGACUGAGAGUACCUGAAAGAAAAAGCAUCGGCUAACUCCGUGCC
rnacentral:rRNA from 1 species